UUUCGGCCCCGCCUGGUUCUUGAAAUGUGCACGCACCAAACGUGUGGGCUCAGGGCGGAGAGGGGGAUGGGACUGAGAUUGGCCCUUUGGGCAGGUGACCCGUGAUUGAUUCCCAGGACGGGUUCGAGGGGAUGCAGAAGACUGUGGACUUGAGGAAGCGGGUCCUAGCGCCCGCGGAGGACAUCUAGGAGUCAGGCAUGUUAAAAUUGCGGCAUGGAGGAAACGGGAGGACUUUGGGAACUGGUGGGGUCGGGUAUAAAAGCCGGAGCUCUGGAGGGAGGACUCGUGGCAGUCCCUUUCCCAUUCUUUCAAAGGCUGUGAGGCAGGAAAGUCGAGAAUCUUCUCAAGGCUCUUGGGUAGUGACAGAGGAACAGCUGAAGACAAGGCCCUGGAGGGGCUCUUUCGCCUCCUGCGGGGCUUUCCUAGUCCCUACUUUCCCCUCCCCACCUCUUGGCUCCAGGCCUCUCUGGGUUGGGGGCCUGGAGAGGAAGGAGGCUCAGGAAAAGAAUGAGGGGGAGGUUCCUGCACGGAAGGUCACGAUGUCCUGCAGCCCGGGCAGCCUGGAGACCUGAUAAUUGGGGCAGACAAACCAGUCUCUGUCUGCAUCAGCUUCUCUCGCCAGGCUCGGGUUGGGGCCCCAGCGGGAGGACGGCAUCACUGGGGCAGGGCUGGAGGAGACCCAGAGGCCUCCCACAGAGCUGCUCCUGGGAACCUGAGGGCUGCACCGCCCAGGCUGGGAGAUAGUGCUCCCUUCAACCGCUGCAGCCCUAGGCAGAAAGCAGAACGUGAGGGCGGAAGUCCCUCCCUAUCCUAGUACGUGCUGGCAGGCCCGGGAGCCAGGGACUCCCUUCACUGGCUGCCCCGGCGGAUGUUGGGGGCAGGGUGACUCAGCAGAAAUAAGACUUGGAAAGCUAGAGAAGAGUGGGCAGUCUUCAAGGACACUAUGACCAGUGUGACCUGUACAUGAAGAACUAGACCUCCUGCACAUCUGGUUUGGCCCCUCGUCGCAAUUUGCCUACAACGGACAAAAGAGUUCCGAAGAUGGACUCAUCUGACAGUUUAUCUCCAAAGCAGUCAAAAUUGUCGAGCAUCUUGCGGAGACCUCGCUCUGUGAGGGGCAGCUGUGACACACAGUAGGCCAGGUCCCGGUACUGUCGCUCAGUUCUGCAGAUGGGAAGGGCUUUGUGAGCAACAGCUCAAGGGUUAUCCUUCCUCCUAGGUCUCCCUUGGUCCCAGGUAUGCCACUGGGGGGUUCUUUCCCCCACAUGGCUACUGUUAGCACAGAGAUCUUUCAGGGAAGGUAAUGUACCGGGCUGUGCGGAACCGCUGACAUAGCUUCUCCACCAAGCUCUCGGUCUGCUUGUCCUUGGUGAUGUAGGAGAGGAGCUGCCUGCAGAAGGGGAAGUGAGGAUGUGUGAUCAGCAAAGAGCACCUCCAUCCUCAUCCACUAAGGCCUAUGCUGGACCCUAACCUAGCACCAGACUUCUCUGCCCUUGCUCAGUAGAAGAAUGUUCUUGGUCAUGGCUCUCUAAUUGCCUCACAUGCUCCUCUUGCCCUCUCCCAGACAUUAGAGAACCCGCCCCCCCAGAAAUUUUUAUUGUGAAUAGAAAUUAACAAGAAAAGCUGCCAUUUGGGAGAACUACUGUGUGCCUUCUGCCAUGGUAAGAAUAGUAUCUUAUUUAAUAUGAGACAAGUAGUAUAAACCUCAUUUUAUAGCAGAGGAAAUAGGCACAGAGAAAGUCAAGUUACUGCUGAAGGCCAUGUGGCUAAAAAGAAGCAGACCUAGGGUUGGAGGUGCACAUCGGUGGCUGAGGGCUGGCCAGGGAUUAUGUGAGGCCAUGGGUUCAUCCCCAAGUGCUGCCAAAAGAAUAAAUGAAUGAAUAAAGCUGAGCUGGAAUUCCAAUUCAGGUAUGUCUGAUUCCUAAGCCUCUGUGCUAGUGAAAAUGUGCUCCAAGGCCCAGGGAACUAUACUUCAUGAUGGUGUGAAAACACUCUUCCUCCACCCCACCCUCGGGGUCUGACAGGCGGCUGAUGAUAUCUGGAAGGAGAUUAUAGAUGGCGUUGCCCUGUAGAGGAGAAAGAAUCAUGCUAAAGAGAUGAGGUGAUCUACAUAUUCCUUCUGCAGCAGGACCCAAGUUGCCUCUUCACCUCUCACCUUGUGAGAAAGCUCAUUGAAGAAGUUCUUGGCUAAGGCAGCGAUCUGAGGCUCAGGGUCGAUAAGUAGCACAGCCAUCUCGCUCACCUGCCCCUUCACUUUUACCAUGUCCUUUAGGAUCAAGUGGGUCAUCACCAGCCCUGCUGUCUUCCGCACUUGUGGAGCUGGGUCCCUGAGGCUAGGAAUGAAAUCUCAAGUCAUUGGGACCAAGACCUCUCAGCUACACCUUAAAAUCAGCAGGAAAGGCCCUCGGCAGGGAUCUAUUACCCACAGGAUGCCAUGCUAGAAGCAGUUAGAAUGCUGUCUACAGUUGAAAGCUGUAGUUAGGGGGAAAGGCAAAACUUGUAGCCAAAGCACUGCACUGAAGCUUCAAUUCUCUUAGAGUCACAGUUAGUCAGGGGCCUAUACAGGUUAAGUAUCAAGUAGAUGUUGAAGGUAGUGUCAAGACUAGGGAAAUAUAUACAGUCUUACAGACCCUCACACUGACAUAACAGACUGUGGGAACAAUCAGGGACAACUCAAAUGCAAGGGAUCUCUUACCGAGCAUACAGAUGAGGUGUCCAGGGAUCCACCAAGUUGGGAAAACGGAUGGCCAGAUCCCCAGUAGCAAUCAUGAGAUUAGACCGAACAAUGGGGAGCGAAGACUUUUCUAGCAUGGUGAACAGAAGACGAAGCUGGGAGUCACAGAAAGUAGCACUAGGGGCAAGGAGAGGAACAUCAGAGAAGUCAUAUCAUCUCCAUCCUCUUUUGAAAUAGUACCAACUCAGGGACUACCUGAUCAUGCAGAACUUGCCAAGGGCAAGUGAAGCAGCUGCAGAGAGGUCUGGGUUGCCAUAGAGGCCAGGGUUGUUGCAGACUUUGAGCAAAAGUGGAACAAAGGCAGCCAGUAUCUGUUUGCCUGUUGGAAGAACAACUCUGUUUGGGAUGUGUUAUCUCAAUUGGGGAGGUCACCUAGCAAUUUUUCUUACCAUCCAAGAGUUCCAUCUCACAGAUGCUACGGAUUAAUUCUGCCUCUGUGUCAUCAGCGGUGGCCCCCACCAACCCCAGCUCCUCCUCCAUGGUGGUCUCGGAGCUUGAAUUCUAAAGGAAAAGAUCACGGUGGUCUGUUCAUGAGUGACCAGAGACAUCAUAUUAUAGCCUAACACUUCAUUUUGCAUGAAGAUCUGAGGAAAGGUGAUGUCUACAAAACCAUUCAUAAAAUUGCCAAAUGUUUGUGUAUGUAAAGAGAAAGCUUUUUUUUUUUUUUUGUAUUGGGGAUUAA